AUGGUACAGUCUCUCUACAGGUCUCAGACCCGCCAAUCAGGCAUGGGGACCAUCACUCCUGAUGUUCCUGGAGAAGGUGCAGAUUCCAGAACCCAGCAUGUUGUAGAGCAGCCUGUGUCUGAGUCAGUCCAGCCAGGAGACUCUGUGACUCUGAACUGUACAAUACACACUGAGACCUGUGCAGGAGAACACAGUGUCUAUUGGUUCAGACAUGGCUCAGGAGAAUCCUGUCCAGGAAUCAUUUACACCCAUAGGGACAGGAGUAAUCAGUGUGAGAAGAGCCCUGAGUCUGGGUCUCCUACACAGAGCUGUGUCUACAACCUCCCCAAGAGGAACCUCAGCCUCUCUGAUGCUGGGACUUACUACUGUGCUGUGGCCUCAUGUGGGGAGAUACUGUUUGGGAACGGGACCAAACUGGAUGUUGAAGAUGGUGAUGUUGAUCCAUAGAUGACAAUCCUGGACCUUCUCUCCAUCAUAAGAACUGGAGUUCUCCUCUGCUGUCUGACCAUCUUCAUCAUCAUCUACCUCACCAGGAAAUAGACAAAGUUAGGGCCAAUAUCAAUAGCCUAUAUGUAGUAUGUUACUUGCUUUCACCAAAUCCCUGUGUAUGCACUUAUUGUAUA